ACUUGCCACUUCUUCGCUUUCCAUCAUUUUGGGGUUAAAUCACCCAAGCCAUUGAUGGACGGAGAACUGAUAAGGGC
rnacentral:pre_miRNA from 1 species